rnacentral:ncRNA from 1 species
AGCCAGGGGCGCCGCAAGGCUGAGACGUACCCUUUGAACCUGAACCAGAUAAUGCUGGCGUAGGGAGGCGCG